rnacentral:piRNA from 1 species
UGCGAGUUCAAUUUCCAUUUUUACAGUGC